AUAAGAUUAAGUUAUGAUAGACUAUAUGUUUUCAAAACAUAAAGAGGCUUUUGUAGCCAUCUUAUG
rnacentral:tRNA from 2 species